rnacentral:rRNA from 1 species
CUGACGCUCAUGGACGAAAGCCAGGGGAGCGAAAGGGAUUAGAUACCCCUGUAGUCCUGGCCGUAAACGAUGAACACUAGGUGUCGGGGGAAUCGACCCCCUCGGUGUCGUAGCUAACGCGUUAAGUGUUCCGCCUGGGGAGUACGCACGCAAGUGUGAAACUCAAAGGAAUUGACGGGGGCCCGCACAAGCGGUGGAGUAUGUGGUUUAAUUCGAUGCAACGCGAAGAACCUUACCAGGGUUUGACAUCCUGAGAACCUCUUAGAAAUUUGAGGGUGCCUUCGGGAAUUCAGUGACAGGUGGUGCAUGGCUGUCGUCAGCUCGUGUCGUGAGAUGUUGGGUUAAGUCCCGCAACGAGCGCAACCCACGUUUUUAGUUGCCAGCAUUUAGUUGGGCACUCUAGAAAGACCGCCGGUGAUAAACCGGAGGAAGGUGUGGAUGACGUCAAGUCAUCAUGCCCCUUACACCCUGGGCUACACACGUACUACAAUGCUACGGACAAAGGGCAGCAAACUCGCGAGAGCUAGCAAAUCCCAUAAACCGUGGCUCAGUUCAGAUCGUAGGCUGCAACUCGCCUACGUGAAGUAGGAAUCGCUAGUAAUCGCAGGUCAGCAUACUGCGGUGAAUACGUUCCCGGGCCUUGUACACACCGCCCGUCACACCAUGGAAGUUGGCCAUGCCCGAAGUCGUUACUCCAACCCUUGUGGAGGAGGACGCCGAAGGUGGGGCUAAUGACUGGGGUGAAGUCGUAACAAGGUAGCCGUACCGGAAGGUGCGGCUG